UGGAAGUGGGCUGGAAGGGGGUCAAGAGAGAUUUUUGGAAAUAUCUCUUAUCUUCACAAAACUGUUCACGCAGUUGGAAAUAAUGCAACUGGGAGGGAAAAGUUGAUGGUGCAGGAGAAUGGGGGACUGGAGGAAGGCUCCAAGUGGCAGGCGGGGACAUGAAGCGAGGUACACACAGAGGUGCUGGCCUUCAGUGGAAGCACCGGUCGUUCAUCCAGGCUGUGCAGGGUGCAAGCAGAAGACAUGGACGAAGGGGAAGGGAUCUCUAGGAAGAGACUUGCCAAUUCUGAGGCACAUUGAAAAGACCCACAAGUCUACUUCAUGUCAACUGGAAUAUUCACAUGUAAAAUUUGGGUAUAUUUUAGGAAAUUCAUACAACUGUUCUCACAUGAGAUUAAAAAAUCAGAAUCUUACUGAUUUUGAAUUUAUAAUCUAAGAAACUGGUAAAAUGUGCUGUUACAAUAAUAGCAUCAUAUUUCUUUUAGAGUAAUCAGAGAAUUUAGGAGUAAAGACCGUUAGAGAAUGCUUACCUAUAUUUCCUCCAAUUUCAUAUAACCGUUGGUUCUGAAUCUUAAUGCAUUCUGACGAACCAUAACUGAAAAAAAGAAGGCAAUGUAAUUUUAACCCUGUUCUAUGAUCUGAGGUAAAUCUGUGGAUUAAAUAACCAUGGCAACAAACAAUUCCUUCUGCCUUGAGUGAAAUAUACCCACAAAUCAUUAUUACAAUUGAAGUUAUGAUAAAAACUUAUUAUUAUUAUUAUUAUUAUUAUUAUUUACUUGUUUGACACAGACAAGCAUUCAAGGCACAGAAAGGAUGGGACUAUCCCAAACUAAGACGGAUGCUGCUGUCCCCUGCAGCAACCUGGAGCCCAUUCUGUCCCCAACUGACAGCUUCAUUUAAGAGAGUAAACUGUUAGAGACACGCCAAGGCUGGCUAAGGAGCAGCUGGAUGUUUCAUAUUGCCUUGUCAUUGGUCACAUUACUCUCGAUUCGAAAGAAGUCAGGUUUCAUUUCUCUUUUUGCCAGAAACUGAAUGAGAUUCUCUCCUUUGUCCAUGCCAUGUUUCUAAACUUGCCUAAAGCUUUUCAGACUGUCUAAUGUUGACUUCAUUGCAUGUUUCUGCUCUAUGGUGAAAGCAAGUCAGAGAAAAUAAUUGCCCAGUUUAAUUUCAGCAUCCUGGAAUACUGCAGUAGAAAAGUCUAGAAAGACCAUUGCUGAUCUCCACCUACAUGAGGAAUGACUUUCAGCUUGGUUUCUUCAAAAAGAUUGCCUCAGCUCUUUGUGAGGAAGAAAGAUGUGUGGCCUAUUUUAUUGUUUACUUAAACAUUUUGAGAUAAUUGUAGAUUUGCAUGUAGUUUUAAGAAAUUAUACAGGUAGAUCCUGUCUACCCUUUACCCAGUUUCCCCCAAUAACAACAUUUUGCAAAACUCUAGUUUGCUACCACAACCAGAAUGUCAACAUUGAUUCAGUUAAGAUACAGGAUAUUUCCAUCAUCACUAGAUCUCCCAUUUACCUUUUACAGUCCCACUCCCUACCCUCUCCAUCAUUACUAUGCUCAUCCCUUGUCCCUAGUAAUGUCUACUCGAUUCUACAUUUUCUAGAAGCUUCUAAUUUCAAAAAUGUUACACAGAGUAAAUGGAAACAGAGUACAGAGCUUUUUUUGUAUUCAUUUUUUUCUUUUUAAAUAUAAUUUAUUGUCAAAUUGGCUUACAUUCUGUAUGGGCUUUUUUUUCUAAUCAGCAUAAAUCACUGGACACUCACCCAAGGUGUUGCAUUUUAUUGAUGAGUAGCAUGCCAUGGUAUGGAUGUACCAGUUUGUUUUUUACCUGUUGAAGAACAUCUGGGUUUUUUUCCCCCAGUUUUUUACUAUUUUAAAUAAAGUUGCUAUAAGCAUUUGUGUUCA